rnacentral:tRNA from 2 species
GCGCCCAUAGCUCAGCCGGAUAGAGCAGCAGACUUCUAAUCUGCCGGUCGGGGGUUCGAAUCCCUCUGGGCGCGCCA